rnacentral:lncRNA from 1 species
UCGGUCUGGGGCCGUUGUUUGAACUGGCUGGUUCUUCCCCUAUCGCUCUUGGGUCGUCUUCCCCAUUUCCGGAUGGAAUUAGGUCAUCUUCCCUUGCUUCCGUCUGCUUGUGUAAGUCGACGAUGGCUUGGACAUCUUCUUUAACGGCGAGAUACCCCAGCGGCUUCGUAUCAUCUCCUCCCCCUUCAGAAUCGACCUUGUCCUCAAGGUUGAUAGUUGGAAAGAACUGCUGGAUGUCUUCGACAGCUUCCCAAGAAGCAUCUUCAGGUAUAGCACUACUCCACUGGAUUAGCACUUGCUCUUUCUUUUUCUUGCCUCCUUGUAGAAUUGACCUGUGAUUUAGUAUAGCCAUAGGAUAGAUUAUAGGUUUAUUAUCAAUCGAAAUUAGGGGUUCUGUUGCAUCAGGGUUUUCAGGUGGAGAGCCACUGAAUCUUUUUAGUUUUGAUACAUGAAAUGCAGUGUGAAUUCUGCUCUCUGUGGGUAACUCCAGAUGGUAGGCCACUUCAUUGAUCUUUUUUGAAAUCUUAUAAGGUCCAAAGUACUUCUUCCCUAAUUUAUUGUGUAAUUUGUGAGCAACAGUGGCUUGUCUUAUGGUGUUAAUUUUACUAACACCCAAUCUCCCACCUCAAACGAGAUGUCUGACCUUCCUUUGUCUGCUCGAAUCUUCAUUCUAUUUUGUGCCAACUCUAAAUUAUUUUUGAUUUUCUGUAAGGUCUCCUCUCUUAGUUUUAGAUUUAUGCUAACAGCCUCAAGUGUUGAGUCACCUUCUGUAAAAUGUGGAAUAUCAGAUGAUUCCUUCCCAUAAAGAGCCAUAAAUGGUGUCAUACCUAG